GCUACGGGGGGCUGCAGUGGGGAAUCUUGCGCAAUGGGCGAAAGCCUGACGCAGCCAUGCCGCGUGAAUGAUGAAGGUCUUAGGAUUGUAAAGUUCUUUCGCUCGUGACGAUGAUGACGGUAACGAGAGAAGAAGCCCCGGCUAACUUCGUGCCAGCAGCCGCGGUAAUACGAAGGGGGCUAGCGUUGUUCGGAAUUACUGGGCGUAAAGCGCGCGUAGGCGGUUUUGCAAGCCAGAGGUGAAAGGCCUGAGCUCCACUUAGGAAUUGCCUUUGGGACUGCGAGGCUUUGAGGACGGAAGAGGUGAGUGGAAUUCCCAGUGUAGAGGUGAAAUUCGUAGAUAUUGGGAAGAACACCGGUGGCGAAGGCGGCUCACUGGUCCGUUUCUGACGCUGUAGCGCGAAAGCGUGGGGAUCAAACAGGAUUAGAUACCCCAGUAGUC
rnacentral:rRNA from 1 species